UACUACCGAAGCUACGGCAUCAGUAAUGAUGGGUAGGGGAGCUUCCCAUACGGGUUGAAGCAUGACCGUAAGGACAUGGGGACAGUAUGGGAGUGAGAAUGUUGGCAUGAGUAGCGAGAUGUGGGUGAGAAUCCCACAGGCCGUAAACCCAAGGUUUCCAGGGGAAGGUUCGUCCGCCCUGGGUUAGUCGGGACCUAAGCUGAGGC
rnacentral:rRNA from 1 species